AUGAACGCUGGCGGCGUGCCUAAUACAUGCAAGUCGAGCGAACAGACGAGGAGCCUGCUCCUCUGACGUUAGCGGCGGACGGGUGAGUAACACGUGGAUAACCUACCUAUAAGACUGGGAUAACUUCGGGAAACCGGAGCUAAUACCGGAUAAUAUAUUGAACCGCAUGGUUCAAUAGUGAAAGACGGUUUUGCUGUCACUUAUAGAUGGAUCCGCGCCGCAUUAGCUAGUUGGUAAGGUAACGGCUUACCAAGGCGACGAUGCGUAGCCGACCUGAGAGGGUGAUCGGACACACUGGAACUGAGACACGGUCCAGACUCCUACGGGAGGCAGCAGUAGGGAAUCUUCCGCAAUGGGCGAAAGCCUGACGGAGCAACGCCGCGUGAGUGAUGAAGGUCUUCGGAUCGUAAAACUCUGUUAUUAGGGAAGAACAAAUGUGUAAGUAACUAUGCACGUCUUGACGGUACCUAGUCAGAAAGCCACGGCUAACUACGUG
rnacentral:rRNA from 1 species